rnacentral:tRNA from 1 species
AAAGGCCUAGUUAAAAACAUAACACUAGCUUGUCAAGUUAGAGUUGCCAUAAGACUGGCGGUCUUUA